rnacentral:rRNA from 1 species
ACACUCCUAUCCUCCNGGGUACUACGAGCGUUAGCUUAAAACCCAAAGGACUUGGCGGCGCUUCAGACCCCCCUAGAGGAGCCUGUUCUAGAACCGAAUCUCCCCGUUUAACCUCACCACCUCUGGUCCUAACUGCCUAUAUACCGCCGCCGUCAGCUUACCCUGUGCAUGCAACAUAGUAAUGGAUAAUUGGCAGUAGCCAUAAACGUCAGGUCGAGGUGUAGCGCAUGAGAUGGAAGUAAUGGGCUACAUUCUCUAAUUUAGAGUAUACGGAAGGGGAACUGCCCCCCUNNNNAGGAUUU